rnacentral:rRNA from 1 species
UGGGGAAUAUUGCACAAUGGGGGAAACCCUGAUGCAGCGACGCCGCGUGAACGAAGAAGGUAUUCGUAUCGUAAAGUUCUGUCCUAUGGGAAGAUAAUGACAGUACCAUAGAAGAAAGCUCCGGCUAAAUACGUGCCAGCAGCCGCGGUAAUACGUAUGGAGCGAGCGUUGUCCGGAAUUAUUGGGCGUAAAGGGUACGCAGGCGGUUUAAUAAGUCGAAUGUUAAAGAUCGGGGCUCAACCCCGUAAAGCAUUGGAAACUGAUAAACUUGAGUAGUGGAGAGGAAAGUGGAAUUCCUAGUGUAGUGGUGAAAUGCGCAGAUAUUAGGAGGAAUACCAGUAGCGAAGGCGACUUUCUGGACACAAACUGACGCUGAGGUACGAAAGCGUGGGGAGCAAACAGG